ensembl:lncRNA
AGGGUUGGCCCUGCCUUUCCUCCAGAUGCUCUAUCACUGUUUCUGGCUCUGACUCAACCUUUGUACUAUAGCAGCCAAGCAUCUCUUGAUGAUCUUUGGUCUCUGUAGUUUUUUUAAUAGUGAAGAAGUAGGAAUAUGAAAAUGGAGCCGAGUAUAACAUAAAAGGACUUCAAAAUCCGUUCCUCUGCUUGCUUUGUGCCAAUUCCUGUUUUUGGAUUCAGGGGACAACCCUUAGGGUGAAGUUGUCAUGAAUUCAGCUACUCAGUUGUCAUCUUCACUGGAGCUGGUUGAGUCAUUCCCACAUGCUGGUACUCGACAAUAGGAGGAAGACUGGAUAACAGAUGAGCAGGAUUAACUGUUUACCUCACCUUAUGUUUGAGACCUUCGGUUCAUGAUAUUUCUUCUAAGUUAAAGGAAAGGAAGCAUAAUCAUCAACCAUUUGCCAAAGCUUGCCUCUAAGUUAUUUCUGUCCAUCUCUUUCUCAAAUAUGCGUGUGCUACAAAAUGAGUGCUUAAAGAAUGAAAAUGGAUUUUUGGUAAUUAGUCUUUUGACCAGCAGCAAGUGCAUAUUUUUAAAGCUUUCAGUCUUUGUGCAAUGUUCCUUAAGAGAUUCUGUUUUGAAGGGACUGAGUUUUCUUUUGUAUUUUAGUUCCAGACUCAUUCCCGAUUAAGCUAUUUUUAAGCGAAAUCUGUCAUUUUAAAAGAUCCUGUGUUAUAAUGACUUAAAAUAUUUAACUACUGAGAGAAUGCUAGUAAAAUAGUACUUUUCAUAGAUUGCAUUAAUUUAUUAUUUUCAUGGCUACAGUUGCGAUCAGAAAAUGUCUAAAGGAGAACAGCUUUUACUGUUGCAGAGUUUUUGUGGAGUUUAAAAGCCCUUAAACUUGGCUAAUACAUAGCAUUCCUCUGAAAGCAGGUAUUGCACAGCAGAAUCCAUUUAUAAGGUGUAGCUUAUUUUUACAAUUGUGUAUUUCUGCUGUGGAUAGCAGCUGAAGCUUUUGAAUGAAUGCCUUAUUUUCAGUGGGUCUUCUGGAGUGGCAGCCAUUACAUCAGUCCAAAGCAGAGUUACACAGUCACUGGAAAAGGCACACAGCAAACUGGCCAGCAGUGCGAGUGUGUGUUAGACGGCCAGUCUGUGCUGUGGAACAGAUAAAAGCCCAAGCGUAGCAGCUGCCAGAUAAAUAACUUGUAAAAUAAGGUGGUAGACUUUUUCAACUGAAAAGUUUGUUCUUCCAUAUACUUUCUAAUCUGUGGUUUCUGUUUUAGAAACAGCACUGCAAAACAGGCAAUAAUACAUGUUCCAAAUGUGAUCAUGUUAAUGGAGUUACUGUAAUUCAGAGCACUACAUGUCAGUCUACCCAAAUCUUUGUAGAACAAAUACCAGUGCAUUUAUUUCUUAGACCUCUCUGAAGAGGCUUGGGAUAUCUGUAAAAUCUCAGAUGCUACAGCUAGGUAAUGAAAAUGGGAGUGAGGGAGUCCUGGAGCUAGAGAUGCCUUCUGAGAACUGAGAGCUGGGCUGCCUGUAAUCACUGAUGUAGAACACCUUGCAAUUUUCCCCUCACUUGCUCUGGAUGCAGUGGCCCAUGGAGCUCUCAAAAUCUUUCCAUGGUUUAUGAAUAGUUUUCCUCUGAAAUUAAAAGUUAAGCUUUUUUUUAAUGUGAAAAUUAUCCAACUCCAUCUAGGAUCUAUGGAUUUGUGUUACUGUGAUCUUUUUCUAUUGCUGGAAACAGAUGUUAUGGAAAGGAAGUUGCCAUUGUUUCUGAAUUGUGAAUAAAUGCAGAUAAAGCACUU